AAAUAGACAAACCUUGGUUUCCGUGCCUAACAUUUGACCGCCCGUCUUAUUUAAAAAAAUUAUAAAAAAAAAUUAAAAAGACAAGUCACGCAUAAAAUAUUAAUCAUGUUUUAUCAUCUAACAACAAUAAAAAUACGAAUUAUAAAAAAAAUUUAUAUAAGACGGACAGUCAAAGUUGGACACGAAAACCCAUGGUUUGUUUUUUU
rfam:Oryza nivara chromosome 11, whole genome shotgun sequence.